rnacentral:rRNA from 1 species
UGGGGAAUAUUGCACAAUGGGCGCAAGCCUGAUGCAGCCAUGCCGCGUGUAUGAAGAAGGCCUUCGGGUUGUAAAGUACUUUCAGCGGGGAGGAAGGGAGUAAAGUUAAUACCUUUGCUCAUUGACGUUACCCGCAGAAGAAGCACCGGCUAACUCCGUGCCAGCAGCCGCGGUAAUACGGAGGGUGCAAGCGUUAAUCGGAAUUACUGGGCGUAAAGCGCACGCAGGCGGUUUGUUAAGUCAGAUGUGAAAUCCCCGGGCUCAACCUGGGAAAUGCAUCUGAUACUGGAAAGCUUGAGUCUCGUAGAGGGGGGUAGAAUUCCAGGUGUAGCGGUGAAAUGCGUAGAGAUCUGGAGGAAUACCGGUGGCGAAGGCGGCCCCCUGGACGAAGACUGACGCUCAGGUGCGAAAGCGUGGGGAGCAAACAGG